rnacentral:rRNA from 1 species
UACGUAGGGUGCAAGCGUUAAUCGGAAUUACUGGGCGUAAAGCGUGCGCAGGCGGUUUUGUAAGUCAGAUGUGAAAUCCCCGGGCUCAACCUGGGAACUGCAUUUGUGACUGCAUAGCUAGAGUACGGUAGAGGGGGAUGGAAUUCCGCGUGUAGCAGUGAAAUGCGUAGAUAUGCGGAGGAACACCGAUGGCGAAGGCAAUCCCCUGGACCUGUACUGACGCUCAUGCACGAAAGCGUGGGGAGCAAACAGG